rnacentral:rRNA from 1 species
GAUGAACGCUGGCGGCGUGCCUAAUACAUGCAAGUCGAGCGAACAGAUGAGGAGCUUGCUCCUCUGACGUUAGCGGCGGACGGGUGAGUAACACGUGGAUAACCUACCUAUAAGACUGGGAUAACUUCGGGAAACCGGAGCUAAUACCGGAUAAUAUAUUGAACCGCAUGGUUCAAUAGUGGAAGACGGUUUUGCUGUCACUUAUAGAUGGAUCCGCGCCGCAUUAGCUAGUUGGUAAGGUAACGGCUUACCAAGGCAACGAUGCGUAGCCGACCUGAGAGGGUGAUCGGCCACACUGGAACUGAGACACGGUCCAGACUCCUACGGGAGGCAGCAGUAGGGAAUCUUACGCAAUGGGCGAGAGCCUGACGGAGCAAAGCCGCGUGAGUGAUGAAGGUCUUCGGAUCGUAAAACGCUGUUAUUAGGGAAGAACAAAUGUGUAAGUAACUAUGCACGUCUUGACGGUACCUAAUCAGAAAGCCACGGCUAACUACGUG